UAGGGAAUCUUCGGCAAUGGACGAAAGUCUGACCGAGCAACGCCGCGUGAGUGAAGAAGGUUUUCGGAUCGUAAAACUCUGUUGUUAGAGAAGAACAAGGACGUUAGUAACUGAACGUCCCCUGACGGUAUCUAACCAGAAAGCCACGGCUAACUACGUGCCAGCAGCCGCGGUAAUACGUAGGUGGCAAGCGUUGUCCGGAUUUAUUGGCGUAAAGCGAUCGCAGGCGGUUUCUUAAGUCUGAUGUGAAAGCCCCCGGCUCAACCGGGGAGGGUCAUUGGAAACUGGGAGACUUGAGUGCAGAAGAGGAGAGUGGAAUUCCAUGUGUAGCGGUGAAAUGCGUAGAUAUAUGGAGGAACACCAGUGGCGAAGGCGGCUCUCUAGUCUGUAACUGACGCUGAGGCUCGAAAGCGUGGGGAGCAAACAGG
rnacentral:rRNA from 1 species